rnacentral:rRNA from 1 species
UGACCAUGAGUUUAACGGCCGCGGUAUUUUGACCGUGCAAUGGUAGCGCAAUCUCUUGUCUUUUAAAUGAAGACCUGUAUGAAUGGCACCACGAGGGCUUAACUGUCUCCUUUUUCCAGUCAAUGAAAUUAAUCUCCCCGUGCAGAAGCGGGGAUGCUAACAUUAGACGAGAAGACCCUAUGGAGCUUUAGACACCAGAAUAGCCCAUGUCAAACACCCUUAUCAAAGGAUUGAACUAAUUGGAUCCUAUUUCAAUGUCUUUGGUUGGGGCGACCACGGGCAAACACAAAACCCCCGUGUGGACCAGGAAUACUUUUUCCUACAACUAAGAGUUACAACUCUAAUUAACAGAACUUCUGACCAGUAAUGAUCCGGUAUAUGCCGAUCAACGGACCGAGUUACCCUAGGGAUAACAGCGCAAUCCCCUUUAAGAGUCCCUAUCGACGAGGGGGUUUACGACCUCGAU